UUCGUACUUCGUCACUACAGAAAAGGAAGCGACAAUGAAUAUAUAUAGUGGGCUACACUUCGCUCAAUACUAGUGACGUACUUCCGUUUUGUUUUGGUUACAGAAAAAGUCGGCAGAAGUUUUAUUUUACUGUGUUGAUAGCCCACAAUUUUUUGCGUCUGUAAAGACAGAGGGUGUAGACUGUGUUGUCCUUUCAGCCACACGACGACGCGAAUGGAAGCUUAAGGAAUUCACGUCCAAACAGAUUUUUUUAAAUUUAACAUGAUUUACAAUCUUGAUGGAAGGAAGAAACCUCGGUGACGAUUUCACUAGAAAGAAAAAAGGAAGAUUUUUUUAAAAAGCAGAAGAAGAGGUUUCUCGGGUAACAUUUGGUGAUGUAUCGAAUGCCUUAGUGUUUGUGGUAACAAGUAUGGUUAGUAUUUUACGUGUUCUUCUUGACUGAAGUUUAUAAAAUUAGUAAGUAAAUUUCUACUUUGUUCCGAAAUUAAAAACAACAUUCAAAAUACGGUUGAGUUUUUAUAACUUUUAGUUCUUCAAUGAAAACUGUAAAAUGGGAAAAGCGAUAGAAAGUUUAUAUAACUAUUGUUCGUAAAAUACAUUUAUACCUAAUUUUCUUCUUUGUAAAAAUCGCAGAUAAAGCUACUUGCCAUAAUAUACCGGCUAGGUGUAAAACCCAGCUGGUGUAUUAUGGCAAGAAAUGCCAAAAAAGAAUUUCUAGAAUUAAUACAUUAAUUUUAAUAAUAUAUUUAAAUUUGACUUAGAAAAUAAUGUAUGGCAUCAUUCUCGUAUCCGAUUUUAUUUGGCAUUUUUUGUGACUUUCAGAUUCAUUAAGCAAACAAGAGCAUUUCUGUGUAGUAAAUGAAGAAUUCUUUCCGGGAAAACACAAGAAGAGUCGAAGGAUGUGUUCAACUUUUGUUGUUAAUAUUAAAGUCAGUGUUAAGAAAUCAUACAAGAAUAUAUCAAGAAAGAAACCGUCUUUCGUGCAAGUGAAGAAAAAUUGAGAAAUCUGCGAAGAUAUUUAUAAAUUAUUUUCCGAAUAUUUGUUUGUUUUUAUUUUUGCAAUAUAAACUCCAUUUAUAUUGUUUUCAGAAAGUGUAUAAAUUAUAUUAAUUUCUGAUAUUGUUAAUGCUUUUUGGUAAUUCGUGUAAAUACAGUAGUUAUUGUUUCUGGUGUGGUGGUAACCUUCGUGUAGGUUUAACCUUCAAAUUUUAUGUAAAAACUUACCAGAAAAAGUAGAUUUUUUUAUUCUAUCUACAUCCAAAACUUAACAAUAAUUUUUAAAUAGCGUGCUUAAAUUGAAAUAUUUGAUUGGCAAUAAAUUGAAGAGAGCUUUCAUGUAGACUGCUUUUAAUAUUUUUAUUUGUCGUAUUUUACAG